CCUACGGGCGGCAGCAGUGAGGAAUAUUGGUCAAUGGACGAGAGUCUGAACCAGCCAAGUCGCGUGAAGGAUGACGGCCCUAUGGGUUGUAAACUUCUUUUAUAAAGGAGUAAAACGAGCCACGUGUGCCUUUUGGCAUGUUCUUUAUGAAUAAGGAUCGGCUAACUCCGGUCCAGCAGCCGCGGUAAUACGGAAGCUCCGAGCGUUAUCCGGAUUUAUUGGGUUUAAAGGGAGCUGUGAGGGGUAGUUAAGUCAGUUGUGAAAGUUUGCGGCUCAACCGUCAAAUUGCAAUUGAUACUGGCAGUCUUGAGGACAGUUGAGGUAGGCGGAAUUCGUGGUGUAGCGGUGAAAUGCUUAGAUAUCACGAAGAACUCCGAUUGCGAAGGCAGCUUACUAAACUGUGACUGACAUUGAUGCUCGAAAGUGUGGGUAUCAAACAGGAUUAGAUACCCGGGUAGUC
rnacentral:rRNA from 1 species